AUUGGAGGGCAAGUCUGGUGCCAGCAGCCGCGGUAAUUCCAGCUCCAAUAGCGUAUAUUAAAGUUGUUGUGGCUAAAAAGCUCGUAGUUGAACCUUGGGCCUGGCUGGCCGGUCCGCCUCACCGCGUGUACUGGUCCGGCCGGGCCUUUCCCUCUGUGGAACCUCAUGUCCUUCACUGGGCGUGACGGGGAAACAGGACUUUUACUGUGAAAAAAUUAGAGUGCUCCAGGCAGGCCUACGCUCGAAUACAUUAGCAUGGAAUAAUGAAAUAGGACGUGCGGUUCUAUUUUGUUGGUUUCUAGGACCGCCGUAAUGAUUAAUAGGGACAGUCGGGGGCAUCAGUAUUCAAUUGUCAGAGGUGAAAUUCUUGGAUUUAUUGGAGACUAACUACUGCGAAAGCAUUUGCCAAGGAUGUUUUCAUUAAUCAGGAACGAAAGUUAGGGGAUCGAAGACGAUCAGAUACCGUCGUAGUCUUAACCAUAAACUAUGCCGACUAGGGAUCAC
rnacentral:rRNA from 1 species